CCUUCUUCCCGGCGGCCGUCCCCAACUCCCGCCCCACCUUCUUCCUGGCGGCCGGACUCAACUCCCGCGCCGCAUUUUUCCUGGCGGCCGGCACCGAAUCCCUGCAUCUCCUUCUUCACUGGUGGCACACCACCUUCCUCCCGGCGGCAGCCCUCAUCUCAGAACCCGUCUCCUUCCCAGACCGUAGCACCUCGGCACCACCGUGACGCCUACGCAUUUUGCUGUUGUACUGAAGCCACCCCCCAAAAAACGAGGCACCCACCCGUACCACCCCAUCUUCCACCAACCCCGUGCCCGAAUCCCCCGUAUCGCCGGCGCUGGGUGCUCCCCGCCGCCCAGGGGCCACGUCUUGCGACCUACCAGCCGGCGGUGACCCUCCUCCCAGCUCGCCCUCCGCCGAUCUCCUCCCCUGCAGCUCGCGCGCCACCAAAUCCCAUCCCUGGCUGCUCCUGAGCAGCCCAUCCCAUCCCCUGCAGGUCGUGCAUCGCCAAAUCCCCACCCCCCUGCAGAUUCACGCACCACGGCUCAGAUCCCCUGCACGUGGCGCUCCGUCCUCCCCUUCCCUGCAGAUCGACUGUGAGCCGCAUGGGAGUUCACCUAGCGCUAUUCAGUUUUCAGCCUCGACAGGCAGGCAAGAGCGGCUGCUCACUUCUCAGCUACGGGCAGUUAAGUCGAUUAUUUUUUGACAUCAUGGAGCAGUUCAAUUAGUCCAGGACCGGAAUAUUAUUACUAACCGCCAGGUUUGACAUCUUCUACUUUUGCUUUCCACUUAACUUCUGUUCUGAACUUGUUGCUCGCCGUUUCUGAAUAUCAGUUAGUGCUCUUAAUAAUGCAGCUCUGCAGCAGCUCCCUAGCAAGUAAGGCAUGACCAAAAACAUCAAUCGCAGCUCUCUCUCUCCCCUGAUCUAUUUGCGUGUUAAACUUUUCCCUGUGAUUCAGAGUAGUUUUGACAAAAAAAAAAGCAAAUUUAUCUUGUUUUCCGAUAGCGGUUUGGUGCUCCCUAUGUGCUAGUUGAUAUGGCUGUGAGAACCAAUUUUUCUUUUAUUCAUGAAAGGAAAAUAAAAUGCAGUAGAUAAGUUUUGUGCAAUACAAAGAGAAGUUAAAAUUAUUCAAAAGAGGCAGUUUACUUCCUAUUUUCGCGAGUUCAUUUAGUUUCUCGGAUAGCUUCAGUUAAAAGGACACGAUAAGAACCCAAUUUAAAACAAAAGAAUGUGGAUUUAGCUUUUAUAUUUCUGAGAAUUUCAUUUGGUACAGCGGCGGGGUUCAAUUUUUUGAUGAUAAAAAGGUUCAAUUCAUCCUACUGAAGUUCCCAUAUAGGCGAUAAGAGUUCACUCAGGCCUCCCCGGCAAUCUAGUAGAUGCCUCCAUGGAGUCCAGGGCGCGGCCAGGCAUCCACCGGCAGUCUAGUGCAUGUGGACCUCGUGCAAGAGCAUCAGUUCACUCACCAUGUCAAUAUGAAUCCCCAUGUCCUUGUGAUAUGAACUACAAUGGCGGCUUCCUAGCUAGUUCUGCAGCACAGCCACCACAAAGUAGGAAGGCGCGGAGAAGAAAAAUGCCACUCGCCAUCCUCCAGCAUGGAUUGCAUGGCUGCCAUGGAAGUUCACGCUGGCUGCCAUGCGAGUCCACCGGGCGCCGCUACAGGAGUCCACACCGGGCUUUACCGUCCAAACUUCUUUUUCCGCCCAUCUAAAUUUCUUUUUUUGCUCAUCUGAAAUGCCUAUAUUUGUGGUGUCCUGAACUGCCAUACUCCUUUUCUUUAGCGAGCAAGCAUGUUAUGUUUCCUUUGUGUAUAAAAUGGAGUGAAAAAUAAGUUGAUGGGGACAAAUGAUUGAGCCUGCAGGAGCCUGUCGCUGAACCCCUCCAUCAUGUACAACCAAACCAACCCGAGAACGGACUAUAUUUCCUCCUGAGCGCCGCCCUGAACUUCCACUCGCCUGCAGCGCUGCACUAGAGCCUCAACAAACCCCGCUCCGAUCCACCAUGGAGGAGCCUACCUUCUUGAUGUGCAGAUUCGAGUUCAAAUUUGGUGAUUUUAGUUCCAUCAAGAGGAUGACUGCGCAACGAGGUCGAGGAGCACCAGGCCCUUGUCUGUUUGUUGCCCAUUCGGUAGAGUCCACGAGAAGUUCAUAUGGUGGAGCGCUGCAUCCCAGACGUGCACUUUGCCUCUCACAGAAAAAAUACACCUUUGUCUGUAUCCACGUGAAUUUUUUGAGCAUCAUGGUGCUGUCGGCAGUAGCAGACGGGAACGAGACGCCGGCAUGGUGGAGUACGACUAGGAUUGCACCAUCGUCUAUGUCAUCCAAGUCCAGGUUUUUUAUAGGUGCACAUGGCAGAAGUUCACAUCAACUAUACUGUGAAGCUCGCCUCUUCUUUCCCGUGAAUUAUCCUCGUCAAUUAUUUUGUCAGCAAGUUCACAUCGCCCUCGUGAGGAAGUUCACCUAUUGUCUAUGUGAAAAUUUAGUUUUAUCCUGUCAGGAAGUGUAGUUUGUCAACAUAUACGUUCAAGGUUAUUAUGACCCUUCUGUAACUUCCUAAUAGAGCGGUUUGCUCCUGACUUGCUUGGCAUUUUCUACCAUAUGUUCAACAUGGAUUUUUUUUUGUUGCAUUGUGCUAAUACAUCAUAUACUGAAAUCAUCGAUAUAAAUUAUGUGUUCUCCUAUGA